AUUGAACGCUGGCGGCAUGCUUUACACAUGCAAGUCGAACGGUAACAGGGUGCUUGCACCGCUGACGAGUGGCGAACGGGUGAGUAAUGCGUCGGAACGUGCCGAGUAGUGGGGGAUAACGCAGCGAAAGUUGUGCUAAUACCGCAUACGUACUGAGGUAGAAAGUGGGGGACCUUCGGGCCUCACGCUAUUCGAGCGGCCGACGUCUGAUUAGCUAGUAGGUGAGGUAAAGGCUCACCUAGGCGACGAUCAGUAGCGGGUCUGAGAGGAUGAUCCGCCAGACGGGGACUGGGACACGGCCCAGACUCCUACGGGAGGCAGCAGUGGGGAAUUUUGGACAAUGGGCGAAAGCCUGAUCCAGCCAUGCCGCGUGUCUGAAGAAGGCCUUCGGGUUGUAAAGGACUUUUGUCGGGGAGGAAAUCCCCAGCGUUAAUACCGCUGGGGGAUGACAGUACCUGAAGAAUAAGCACCGGCUAACUACGUGCCAGCCGCCGCAGUAACAC
rnacentral:rRNA from 1 species